AGCACAGAAGAAAGUUCCUGUGUCAGACAGUUCAGUCGUUCGGGACAAACUCCAAUCACACGUGCUUUAGACAGAAAAUAUUUAUUAGAGAAUGCCGAGUAUGCAAAGACUGACAAUACAGAAUGACAUGGAUUAUAACUUGGCAUCAAACCCAACCUAUCUUGAGGACUCGCUGCCUGGCCGAACGGACGAGAACAAGGCAAAGACACCUAUAUUUUGAAAAAGGUGUGGAAGGGGAGGUAGUGGGUUACGAUGAAAUCAAGAUGCAAUGGGAGGGUGGUGCAGUGGUAAUACUCCUUAGACACAGUACACAUGAUCAGAUCCGGAUAACAAAACUCAGUGACACAAAGCCCAUGUCCCCCUUUCAACCAGGCUCGCCCCUGGGUAACUCUGUUCCCAAUGCGCAGGCUCCUGCUGUUGUUGGUUGCAGUACAAGCAGUGCUAUGUUACAAUGGCUCAUUGAGGACAAGGGGGAAACAAAUUAAAUACAAAUGGAUUACGUCGAGAUCACAAGCCAAUUUUUUUAAAGCCCAGCUCACGGCUACAACCCCCGCACUGACUGGGAAGCGGCGGCCGACCUCUUCUUUACACACUGCAGGCCCACCAUGCAGCCAACACAGAGCCACAGCGUCGGAGGACAACGCAGCUCUGGGAAGCUUACAGGCAAGCUCGCAGGCGCCCGGCAAGAUUACAGGGGUCGCUGGUGCGCAGAUGAGCCGAGGAUACCCUGGACCGACCCAAGCCCUAACAAUUCCCACGUAGAAGUGUGGGAAGCCUCACACCUACAUGUUAUUGGCACUGAAAGUGUAACUGAAACCUGGGUUUACUGACAAUAACGAAACUGUUUGUACAACAGUCUAGUCUCCACACCGCAGCAUUGCGCAUUCCUUUCAACAUUCGUAAGUAAAGUUUCGUUCAGUUCUUUUCUCUGCCUUGGCCAAAUCCUUUACAUAGCUUAUAGUUUUACAUAGUAACACUUUUUUGGGGGCAAAGUCUUUACUGGUAAAUCAUAAAAAAUAAUAAAUAUUCAAAUCGCCAGAAAAACAAACGGUAAUCUCCGAAUAACGUUGACCACGGCUGUGUUUUGAUAUGGUUCCUGUUAUCUUUGGGUUGCCACAGCACCACCUGCUGGCUGUAACGGCAGCACAGUAGUUAGAAUCGACACAGUUGGGUGUAUGCUGCAUGGACUGAGUGGUGCUCAUCUUAUUUCCACGAAGAAUUUAUUGAGGUCUUUACCAGCUUCUCUUCAUUGUAGCUUCAUAAAACGAACCGUUUAUUUAAUUUUUUUCUGGAUGUACACUAAAGGUUUAAAUGAUGUUUGAUAAAAGCGAUAAAAACCAAUGCAAACAUCACGAAAACGA